rnacentral:miRNA from 1 species
UACUCAGGAAGGUUCAGUUAAGU